rnacentral:lncRNA from 1 species
GUCACUUGAGUCUAAUUUUGUGGAUUCGGAAGCUUUGACGCAAAGGUAAUUUUUUUAUUUUUUCUUGUAUUUUUCUUGUUUUGUUGUAUUAUUUUCUUUUUCUUUUUGGUAGGUCAAGCGAAAAAGAUAUGUUCUUGUUAACAACGAUCUAUGCAUGAAGAAAAUAAUCUUAGGGUAUGAAAGGAUGGUACUCACCCCCGGCAAAUAUUGAAGGGAUUACUUUUAUGGCCCAAUUUUUGGAGAGAUUACUCUUAAUAUGGCCCAACUAUCGAUGGCCCAACUAUCGGAGAGAUUCCUCUCAAUGUGGUCCAAUUAUUGGAGAGAUUACUCUCAAAAAUGGCUCGACUAUCAGAGAGAUUACUCUAAAUGUGGUCCAAUUCUUGGAGAGAUUACUCUCAAAAUGGCCCUACUACCGGAGAGAUUACUCUCAAUUUGGCCCAAUUCUUGGAGAGAUUACUCUCAAAAUGGCCUGACUACCGAAGAGAUUACUCUCAAUGUGGCCUAAUUCUUGGAGAGAUUACUCUCAAAAUGGCCCGACUACCGGAGAGAUCACUCUCAAUGUGGCCAAACUAUCGGUGAGGCCAAUUUAAGGUGCAAAGAGACUCAUAUGUCCAUCUUAAUAUUGGAAAGUUAUAGUUCUUUUUAAGGAUAAACCCACGAAGAGGCCAACUUAAGGUGGAAAGGGACUUAUAUGUCCACCUUAAGAUUGGAAAGUUAUAGUUCCUUUUAAGGACAAAUCUACGGAGAGGCCAACUUAAGGUGCAAAGGGACUUAUAUAUCCACCUUAAGAUUGGAAAGUUAUAAAGCUUCAACUUGAAGACGACAUCGACUUGAACACUUGGAAAACUUUAAAGAUUUGACAGACUUUGCAUAAUUCAACUCGAAGAUUCAGUAGGAUUAAACAAUUCAACUUUAAGAUCGGCAAAUUUGAAGACUGAAACUUGAAGAUCGGCGAACUCAAAGACUUCAACGUGGGGGCUUAAAUAUUUCAACUUUAAAACCGGCGAAUUUGAAGACUUCAACUUGAAGAUCGACAGACUUGAAGACUUCAACUUUGAGACUUGGAGGACCUAAAUAUUUCAACUUGAAGAUCGGCGAAUUUGAAGACUUCAACUUUGAGACUUGGUGGGCCUAAAUAUUUCAACUGGAAGAUCGGCGAAUUUGAAGACUUCAACUUGAAGACUGACGAAGUUGAAUAUUACAAGUUGGGGACUUCAACUUGAGUACCAACGGACUUCAAGAUAUCAAUUUACCAUGGAGGGUUUCCCCUUUUAAAUCAAAUGAUAUCAAAGUUCCCCAAGAGGAUGGCAUUUAAGCUUGAUUUUGCAUUCCUCCAUACUUCACUCGGACAACAAUUGGGCAAAUAUGUAUCUUUUUAAAUUAUGCGACUGAACUUAGAAUGAAACUCUAAGCUGCCUACGUACCUCGGUGAAGAGGAUCAAUUCAUACCGUAGUUCA